GCCUGGGUAGCCAAGCGGCGACGGCGGCAGCCUGGAGACGGCGGUUGUUAUACCACCUGUCGAACGGUUAGCUGCUCUCCCUUUGGGAGGCAUGAGUUCAAAUCUCAUCCCAGGCG
rnacentral:tRNA from 1 species